AACGAACGCUGGCGGCAGGCUUAACACAUGCAAGUCGAACGCUGUAGCAAUACAGAGUGGCAGACGGGUGAGUAACGCGUGGGAACGUGCCUUUCGGUUCGGAAUAACUCAGGGAAACUUGAGCUAAUACCGGAUACGCCCUUCGGGGGAAAGAUUUAUUGCCGAAAGAUCGGCCCGCGUCCGAUUAGCUAGUUGGUGAGGUAACGGCUCACCAAGGCGACGAUCGGUGGCUGGUCUGAGAGGAUGAUCAGCCACACUGGGACUGAGACACGGCCCAGACUCCUACGGGAGGCAGCAGUGGGGAAUAUUGGACAAUGGGCGCAAGCCUGAUCCAGCCAUGCCACGUGAGUGAUGAAGGCCCUAGGGUUGUAAAGCUCUUUCGCCAGGGACGAUAAUGACGGUACCUGGAUAAGAAGCCCCGGCUAACUUCGUGCCAGCCGCCGCCGUAA
rnacentral:rRNA from 1 species